rfam:Morus notabilis contig1970, whole genome shotgun sequence.
AUCCUAUGGUGAGGGUAUUUGUGCAACAAUUCUUUUAACCUUUCUCAUGCCUCAUACAAAGAUUUCCCUUCUUGUUGCUGAAAUCUGGUGAUGUCAUUUCUAAGCUU